rnacentral:rRNA from 1 species
GUGAGGAAUAUUGGUCAAUGGAGGCAACUCUGAACCAGCCAUGCCGCGUGAAGGAUGAAGGUCCUCUGGAUUGUAAACUUCUUUUAUAGAAGAAGAAACCCCAGUAUUCUUACUGGGUUGACGGUACUCUAUGAAUAAGCACCGGCUAACUCCGUGCCAGCAGCCGCGGUAAUACGGAGGGUGCAAGCGUUAUCCGGAUUCACUGGGUUUAAAGGGAGCGUAGGUGGGUUGGUAAGUCAGCGGUGAAAUCCCCGAGCUUAACUCGGGAACUGCCAUUGAUACUAUCAAUCUUGAAUACUGUGGAGGUAAGCGGAAUAUAUCAUGUAGCGGUGAAAUGCUUAGAUAUGAUAUAGAACACCGAUAGCGAAGGCAGCUUACUACGCAGUGAUUGACACUGAGGCUCGAAAGCGUGGGGAUCAAACAGGAUUAGAAACCCUGGUAGUCC